GGAAUAAAGAGACAAUGUGGCAGUGAAUAGAAGGAAGAGAGAGAUGGAGUUAUUGAGAGGGAGGAGAGGAGGCACAGAGUCAGAUAGGGAGAAUGUGUGAGAGGCUGUGACAGACAGCGCGCACACACCAGUGUGGAGGGGGUUUUGGAGGAGCGAGGGAACGAGAAAGCAGCUCCGCGCCUUCCGAAAAGCUCCACAGCUCUAAGAGCGCUUUCAUUUAAAAGCAACAACUCCACUAGAAGAGGAAUCACGCAUUAGAAUCCAUUCUGCACAACUUCUCCUUCCUGCUUAAGGAAGACAAAAAAGAGGAAGCUAAAGGAGGGUCCUGUGCUUUCUCUCUCUAUUUUUCUAUUUCUCGAAAACGCACACUCACUUCUCCAAACCCAGUUCUCAUCACACAUUCUCUGAAGUGAGUUCAGAGUCAGACCGUUCUUGGAGAUGGGGACGGUGAGCGAACUUUGUGCUUCCAGCUUUCAGGCAUUCAUGUGUCCCACGGUUCGUCCAGCUGCACCUGCAGUGCCGGAUGACCUGACCCCAGAAGAGAAGCAGGAGCUGGAGAACAUACGGCGGCGUAAGCAGGAGUUGCUUGAGGAUAUCCAGCGGCUGAAGGAUGAGAUAGCAGAGGUGACGAAUGAGAUUGAGAACCUGGGAUCCACUGAAGAAAGGAAAAACAUGCAGAGGAAUAAACAGGUGGCCAUGGGCCGAAAGAAAUUCAACAUGGAUCCUAAAAAGGGGAUCCAAUUCCUGAUAGAGAAUGACCUACUGAAGAAUACCUGUGAGGACAUUGCUCAGUUCCUUUAUAAGGGUGAGGGCCUCAACAAGACAGCCAUUGGGGAUUAUCUAGGUGAAAGAGAUGAGUUCAAUAUUGAAGUACUUCAUGCCUUUGUGGAACUUCAUGAAUUCACAGACCUCAACCUGGUCCAGGCCCUAAGACAGUUCUUGUGGAGCUUCCGGUUACCAGGUGAAGCUCAGAAGAUAGAUCGCAUGAUGGAGGCCUUUGCUCAGCGCUACUGUCAGUGCAACCCUGGAGUCUUUCAGUCCACAGAUACCUGCUAUGUUCUUUCAUUUGCUAUCAUCAUGCUGAAUACAAGCCUGCACAACCCUAAUGUAAAGGACAAGCCUUCAGCAGAUCGCUUCAUUGCUAUGAACAGAGGCAUCAACGAUGGGGGAGACCUACCAGAGGACCUACUCAGGAACCUGUAUGAGAGUAUCAAGAAUGAGCCCUUUAAGAUACCAGAGGACGAUGGCAAUGACCUCACACACACGUUCUUUAACCCGGACCGUGAGGGCUGGCUGCUGAAAUUAGGAGGUGGCAGAGUAAAAACGUGGAAAAGAAGGUGGUUCAUUUUGACUGACAACUGUCUCUACUACUUUGAAUACACCACAGAUAAAGAACCAAGAGGGAUCAUUCCUCUGGAAAAUCUCAGCAUUAGAGAAGUAGAGGAUUCAAAGAAACCAAACUGUUUUGAGCUCUUCAUUCCAGACAAUAAAGAUCAAGUGAUCAAGGCCUGCAAGACUGAGGCAGAUGGGCGGGUGGUGGAGGGGAACCACACGUUUUACCGAAUCUCAGCACCAACCAUUGAGGAAAAAGAGGAGUGGAUCAACAGUAUCAAGUGAGUGGUCUUCUCAGCACUUCAGUCUUGAUGGAAAUACAUUGACCUUCUUUCUGGGAAUGUUUAUAAAAUAGCUGCUAUCAGCAGGGACCCUUUCUAUGAAAUGCUCGCGGCCAGGAAGAAGAAGGUGUCAUCUAUAAAGAGGCCGUAGAUCCUCUCAGUUGUUACAGACUUUGGGCCUCGUAUAUAUAUUUUCUUAAGGUUGAACAAAGAACAUUUAAGUAUGGGCCUGAAAACGGGCCUGUGGUUUGGGAUGUGGACAAAUUAAACCCAAAAGCCAUAAGCUUAAACUGGACAUUUCCUCCUCAGGAACGCCCUGGUAUUUUGAGAAUAAGUUAACCGCACUGAAAGUUUGUCUGAGCCGCAAGUCUGUUUUCAUGAAUUGUUGUCAUGAACAUGUUCAUCAGGACUUCCUCUGUGCUUCUGAUGUGAACGGACAGCACAUGCACAAACGGAGCCUGAAUCAGGUGCACUUGGUCCAGCUGGCAGGCUAGUUUAUGGCACUGUACAACAGAGAAUUUCAACAGACAAACGUAAGAAAAUGCCUGUAAAAUAUGCUUCUUUAUUCUGCAGUGAAUUAGAAAAAUCUCAGCUGCUCUUAGACACUGUUCUGUGGAUUCCUGUUUGGAGCUUUUAAACGUUUAUCAUCUCAAAUCAGCAGGUCUGACUGAACGUGGUGUCUGUUUUAUAUUCUAGCUAUGGAGAUAAACCUUCCUUUCAGUUUUCUUUGAUACAUGUAUAGAUGAAGGAAGCAUACACUUAUUUUUACACAACCUAUCUAAAGGUAUCUAAAGUCUUUUCUGCAUUUCUGUAUUUUUCAUAACUUACCAUAACUACAUUCAAGUAAGUGUUGGCUUGCAGUACUUUUUGCUUUAAUUUUCUGAAGCUUUUUCAAACAAAAAUUGUUUUGGGGGAGAUCAUUGCAUUUUCUCAUAUCUGCCAAUAGAUUUCUAUACCAGCUUGAUGAAAUCAGAACCUUGCAACAGCAGCCUGAUCCUUCCGUGUGGAUGUUGCAGUAGGCGUUGAAUGAACUAGCACAUUUCUGUUUUUGUUUUAGUUUGUCAUGGUCCAUUUACAUACUUGGGAGUACAACUUGUAGACUGGAAAUCUAAAAUGACUGACUGUUUUGAUCGGAGAUGUUACAUGUUACAUGUUACAUUUACAUCGGAGAUGUAAAAACAUGUUACAUUACAAAAACCACUGAUUGAGUAUGUUUAUUUUCCAUAAGAUGUAUUAUAUGAAAUAAUGCUUUGUUGAAUUUUUGUUGAAUUUCUUAGCCAUGUUGUUUGUGUGGAUGUCGCUCAGUACAAGAUUUCAGUGUGUAAGCCAUAGUGUUUUUUGUUUUUUUUUAAAUGUUCAAGUGCACUGAUAACAAAGAGAAACAGCCAUGUUGAAAUACAAUUUAAUUUAUCGUUGUAUAAAGACAUUUUUUUUUUGUCUGAAUGUGUGUUGGUUUGAACGUUUUGUAUAAAGUAUGGGUUUGAGAGGAACGUUCCAUUUGGUGUUGGAUUUUCAUCAUUACCAUGUAAUCUUGUGCUGAAAUAAAAUUGGUACAUUAGUUAAUGUUACAAAAACA